rnacentral:lncRNA from 1 species
GAUCCUCCUGCCUCUGCCUCUUGAGUGGCCAGGAUUACAGGCAUGUACCACCACCCCAGCAAGGAUCCUACUGUUUUAUAGUACGCUGCCAGCAAAGCUGCUUGACCAUUAUCCUGGAGGAACCUUUUAUCUUUAUAAUACCAGAAGCAAACAGACCUGCCCUCUGUUCCCAGAAGACUCUCUUAUCUUCUAAGUAGUUUGCUGUGCAAAUAUUCUUGAAAAGAGAAUCCAGAAUGAGAGCUCCCAGCCCUCUCUCUGCAGAAACUUCAGUGGAAAAUCAUUGUCUACUGAUGGUAUGUCUUUUUGUAUUUGUAAGGGUCUUUUUUUUUUUUUUUUUGCUCCUUGUGGUACUGGGGAUUCAACCCAGGGUCUCGUGUAUGGUAAGCAAGCACUUUACUGAUGAGCUAGGCCCCCAGCCUAUUGUAAGUCUUUUUAAAUUUCUCUCAGCUAAGUUUGAUUUUACAGUAUAAGGUCAUAGUAUCUUUCCAUAAUUUUAUUCUUUUUCGGGGGGAGGGUAGUGGGGAUUGAGCUCAGGGGCACUCAACCACUGAGCCACAUCCCCAGCUCUAUUUUGUAUUUUAUUUAGAGACAGGAUCUCACUGAGUUGCUUAGUGCCUCACUCUUGCUGAGGCUGGCUUUGAACUCCCGAUCCUCCUGCUUCAGCCUCCCAAGUCCCUGGGAUUACAGGCAUGCACCAUUGCACCUGGCAAGUUUAUUCUUUAGUUUUAAUUUUUUUUUUUUUAAGUUGUAGAUGGACAUAAUCCCUUUAUUUAAUUUAUUUUUAUGUGACGUUGAGGAUCGAACCCAGUGCCUCACACAUGCUAGGCAAGUGCUCUACCAAUGAGCUAUAUCCCCAACAUCCCCACUCCUUUCCCUUUUUCAAAAAUUUUGGGACAGGGUCUUGCUACAUUGCCAAGGUCAGCCUUGAAAUCCUGAUCUUACUGCCUUUCUUUUUUUUCAUUUGUUGCACUCCGAGAACCUUUAGUACAAGGUUAAAUCUAAAGCGGAAACAAUGUAAUAUUUCACUGUCAUACGGGGUGCUAGCUGUGUGCUUCUCAGGGAC